rnacentral:rRNA from 1 species
GACGAACGCUGGCGGCGUGCCUAAUACAUGCAAGUCGAACGCAGUGGGGCCGGGUGAGUAACACGUGGGUAACCUCCCAUCAGAGGUGAUAACACUUGGAAACAGGUGCUAAACCGAUACUGAUGGAUGGACCCGCGGUGCAUUAGCUAGUUGGUGAGGUAACGGCUCACCAAGGCCACGAUGCAUAGCCGACCUGGGAGGGUGAUCGGCCACACUGGAACUGAGACAAGGCCAAGAAGACUACAGGAGGAAGCAGUAGGGAAUCUUCGGCAAUGGACGAAAGUCUGACCGAGCAACGCCGCGGGAGUGAAGAAGGUUUUCGGAUCGUAAAACUCUGUUGUUAGAGAAGCGGUAUCUAACCAGAAAGCCACGGCUAACUACGUGCCAGCAGCCGCGGUAAUUC